rnacentral:rRNA from 1 species
UCCCCCUACGGGACGCAGCAGUGAGGAAUAUUGGUCAAUGGGCUUACGCCUGAACCAGCCAAGUCGCGUGAGGGAAGACUGCCCUAUGGGUUGUAAACCUCUUUUGUCAGGGAGCAAUUGGCGCUACGUGUAGCGUUAUCGAGAGUACCUGAAGAAAAAGCAUCGGCUAACUCCGUGCCAGCAGCCGCGGUAAUACGGAGGAUGCGAGCGUUAUCCGGAUUUAUUGGGUUUAAAGGGUGCGUAGGCGGAAGGUUAAGUCAGCGGUCAAAUGUCGGUGCUCAACACCGGCCUGCCGUUGAAACUGG